rnacentral:rRNA from 1 species
CCUGUUUUACAAAAACAUGUCUUUUUGAGUUAUUUUAAAAGUCUGACCUGCCCACUGAAAUUAUUUAAAUGGCCGCAGUAUUCUAACUGUGCAAAGGUAGCAUAAUCAUUAGUCUUUUAAUUGAAGGCUGGUAUGAACGGUUGGACGAGGUAUAAGCUGUUUCAUAUAAAUUUAUAAUAGAAUUUUAUAUUUUAGUCAAAAAGCUAAAAUUUAAUUAAAAGACGAGAAGACCCUAUAAAUCUUUAUAUUUUAAGUUGUUUAAAUUUUUUAGAUUAAUUUUAUUUUUAUAAUUUAGAGUAUUUUGUUGGGGUGAUAUUAAAAUUUAAUGAACUUUUAGUUGUUAAAAAUCAUUAAUUUAUGAGUUAUUGAUCCAUUAAUAGUGAUUAUAAGAUUAAGUUACUUUAGGGAUAACAGCGUAAUUUUUUUGGAGAGUUCAUAUCGAUAAAAAAGUUUGCGACCUCGAUGUUGGAUUAAGAUAUAUUUUUAGGUGUAGCCGCUUAAAU